rnacentral:misc_RNA from 1 species
GCAUUUUGGGGGCUGUUUCGGCUUUUGGUUGCUUGCUUGGCCUUUGCGCUUGGCGGGUGGCUACUAGUUGGGUGGUCUUCGGGAAUGUCGACCGUAAAGGUGCAUGAGUGGUGUUUGGUUUGUUACGGGUGGUUGGAUGUCUGCCUUGUGCAGCAACUUCCUCGCGUGCAUACCUCUUCAGUUAUGCGGCAAGGCUUGUUUGGUCUUGAGCAUCUUUGUGGGUUUCCUGUGUUGCAUACCUAAUCGAUGGCAUUGUAUGGUUCGAUAGACGUCCCUUUUCAUCAUGCGUCGCUCGUGCGACGUGGGAUGAACCUCGAAGCGGUCUUCGUGAUCCACCUUGUCGGUGCCUUUGCAUCGAUGAUGUGGCCCAUGAAGCAUUGCUUGGUCUCUUGUGUACGGAACCUGAUUUGGGCAUGGGUCUUGCUUGAUCCUACAUUUGCCCUUGUUAAGCGUUCUCGCUUCUCUAAAACGAUCGUCCGUCGCGUCUUGGCUUGUCCUUGCGUGGUGGGCUACGUCGA